AACGAACGCUGGCGGCAGGCCUAACACAUGCAAGUCGAACGGGAUCUUCGGAUCUAGUGGCGGACGGGUGAGUAACGCGUGGGAACGUGCCCUUUGGUUCGGAAUAGCCCUGGGAAACUGGGAGUAAUACCGGAUGAGCCCUUCGGGGGAAAGAUUUAUCGCCAAAGGAUCGGCCCGCGUUGGAUUAGGUAGUUGGUGGGGUAAUGGCCUACCAAGCCGACGAUCCAUAGCUGGUUUGAGAGGAUGAUCAGCCACACUGGGACUGAGACACGGCCCAGACUCCUACGGGAGGCAGCAGUGGGGAAUCUUAGACAAUGGGGGAAACCCUGAUCUAGCCAUGCCGCGUGAGCGAUGAGGGCCUUAGGGUUGUAAAGCUCUUUCGUGGGGGAAGAUAAUGACUGUACCCCAAGAAGAAGCCCCGGCUAACUCCGUGCCAGCCGCCGCAGUAAUAC
rnacentral:rRNA from 1 species